rnacentral:rRNA from 1 species
CGGACGGGUGAGUAAUGUCUGGGAAACUGCCCGAUGGAGGGGGAUAACUACUGGAAACGGUAGCUAAUACCGCAUAACGUCGCAAGACCAAAGAGGGGGACCUUAGGGCCUCUUGCCAUCGGAUGUGCCCAGAUGGGAUUAGUUAGUAGGUGGGGUAAUGGCUCACCUAGGCGACGAUCCCUAGCUGGUCUGAGAGGAUGACCAGCCACACUGGAACUGAGACACGGUCCAG